UACGGAAGGGGCAAGCGUUGUUCGGAAUCAUUGGGCGUAAAGGGCGCGUAGGUGGUUCUGUGUGUCUACCGUGAAAGCGUACGGCUCAACCGUAUUUUGUCGGUAGAAACUGCAGGACUUGAGGCUGGGAGGGGCUGGUGGAAUUCCCUGUGUAGCGGUGAAACGCGUAGAGAUGGGGGAGAACACUCGUGGCGAAGGCGGCCAGCUAGACCAGUUCUGACACUGAGGCGCGACAGCGUGGGGAGCAAACAGG
rnacentral:rRNA from 1 species